rnacentral:rRNA from 1 species
AUACGGAGGGUGCAAGCGUUAUUCGGAUUUACUGGGCGUAAAGGGUGCGUAGGCGGUUUUUUAAGUUAGGCGUGAAAGCCCCAGGCUCAACCUGGGAACUGCGCUUAAUACUGGAGAACUUGAGUACGAGAGAGGAAAAUGGAAUUCCUAGUGUAGAGGUGAAAUUCGUAGAUAUUAGGAAGAACACCAGUGGCGAAGGCGAUUUUCUGGCUCGUAACUGACGCUGAGGCACGAAAGCGUGGGGAGCAAACAGGAUUAGAAACCCUAGUAGUCC